rnacentral:rRNA from 1 species
CCGGGUGGCCAUAGAGCGGAGGACACACCUGUUCCCAUUCCGAACACAGCAGUUAAGCUCCGCAUCGGCUGAGGUAGUUGCACCGCAGGGUGCCGCGAGAAAGGCGCGUUGCCCGGU